rnacentral:rRNA from 1 species
UACGUAGGGUGCGAGCGUUAAUCGGAAUUACUGGGCGUAAAGGGUGCGCAGGCGGUUAUAUAAGACAGAUGUGAAAUCCCCGGGCUCAACCUGGGAACUGCGUUUGUGACUGUAUGACUAGAGUACGGUAGAGAGGGGUGGAAUUCCUGGUGUAGCAGUGAAAUGCGUAGAUAUCAGGAGGAACACCGGUGGCGAAGGCGGAUCUCUGGGCCGAUACUGACGCUGAGGAGCGAAAGCGUGGGGAGCGAACAGG